AGUGAACGCUGGCGGUAGGCCUAACACAUGCAAGUCGAACGGCAGCACAGUAAGAGCUUGCUCUUACGGGUGGCGAGUGGCGGACGAGUGAGGAAUACAUCGGAAUCUACUUUUUCGUGGGGGAUAACGUAGGAAAACUUACGCUAAUACCGCAUACGACCUACGGGUGAAAGCAGGGGAUCUUCGGACCUUGCGCGAUUGAAUGAGCCGAUGUCGGAUUAGCUAGUUGGCGGGGUAAAGGCCCACCAAGGCGACGAUCCGUAGCUGGUCUGAGAGGAUGAUCAGCCACACUGGAACUGAGACACGGUCCAGACUCCUACGGGAGGCAGCAGUGGGGAAUAUUGGACAAUGGGCGCAAGCCUGAUCCAGCCAUACCGCGUGGGUGAAGAAGGCCUUUGGGUUGUAAAGCCCUUUUGUUGGGAAAGAAAAGCAGCAGGUUAAUACCCCGCUGUUCUGACGGUACCCAAAGAAUAAGCACCGGCUAACUUCGUG
rnacentral:rRNA from 1 species